rnacentral:lncRNA from 1 species
CCUCGGCGAAGAGGCCCCCGCGGCCGGCCGAGCUCCGUGGACUCCGCAGGAGCGGCCCCGCCCCUCACACUACGCCGGGCGGUUCCCUCCGAGCCCCGCCGGGACAGCGUCGACGCUGCACACACCCCAGAGAAGCCAGAGGACGGCGCCUGCACCGGACACAGCGCAACACCGGCACAGCACAGCGUCCACACCACAAGUGAGCCUAGGCAGCUGUGUCUACACUGCAGACGCCGGCCUGAGCGCACGCGUCUUCAUGCAGGCUCAGCAGAGGGGGAAGAACACCUCCCCGAGGGUGGAAGAGCUGUGGCCAGCAGACAGAUGGACGGACAGACGGACACAGGCGAACAGGCAGCGCAGGGGUGAGCCGAGCCGGUCAAAUGGGCCAGGACCCGGCUCCGUGUGCCCUUCACAGUCAGGAUGACAGAACCCCGUGGAAUAUGAAAAAUGCCGGGAGACAGACCCCGGAGGCACAGCCCCUCACCGGGCAGGGAGGCCGCCAGAGGGAAGCGCAGCUCCAGACCACCAGAGCCCCAUCUGAUUAAGGCAUCGAGAUCAAAGCUCAGCAGAGGGCGGCUCAUGAUGGGCAGCUCAAAAAAAUAAACCCACCAAUCAGAGUCCGUGUUCCUGUGACCGGUGGCGGGUUCGGAUGCAGAGGAGGCUUCUCAGUGCGGUUCCUCCUCAUCUCGGAACCUGCCACCCCACUCAAGCCCGACAUAGGCCAGGACAGCCAGGACGGCCGCAGCGAGGGCAACACGAGGCCCGUCGACAUCCUGAGGCCCCCGGGCCUGUCGCCGAGUCCCGGCUUGGGGAGUGUCCCCGGGCCACACUGGUCCUGCUCCCGGCUGUGUGGUCUCCCAGGCGCGUGGCUCCUCCCUCCGGGGCCCAGGCUCUGGUGUGAGCCACUUUUUCCAUAGGAGACGCCCAUACUUGCAGCUCACGCCUUUGUCUGGUGCCCUGGCCUCACACCUAUAGGAAUUGGGUACCUGGGGGCCUCUUCAUCUUUACUUGUCUCAGCUUAGAGAAGCCCAGCUACACUUCCUCCAUGCCUGGAUUCAUGCACGGCCCCACAGGGUGAGGCCUGGACACCCUCACGGGCACUGGGGCUCCACGGAUGCAGAAGGCAGCCUGGCCCGGUAGCUCGGGGGUCUGAGAUGGAGGUGGAGUAAGACAGAGUGACAAAGGCUGCGUCCUGGAGGCAGGCUCGGAGCCUCCCUGAGCUCAGAGAGCCCGCGUGCGCCAGGAAGCCACACCUGCAGGACCCGAGUCGGAACUCAGAGGCUGGUACAGCCGCGGUGCUUGUCCUGUAGAUAAGAAUGGCCUCCUCUGGCGGCCAAAGUUAAUUAAACUGACAAUCUUGAUAAGUUGCACAGUUACCUGCUCGGGGACAAAGAAGAUGGGAGCCUUGUUUGUGGUUUCUUCUUGUUCUUUCCUGUGCCCCACAGUCAUUUUAAAAUUAAAUUAAAUGGCUUAUCUGCACUAACCCAA